rnacentral:siRNA from 1 species
AUGGGCCUCUCCACCUAUUGCCAA